rnacentral:rRNA from 1 species
AGCGAACGCUGGCGGCAGGCUUAACACAUGCAAGUCGAGCGGGCACUUUCGGGUGUCAGCGGCGGACGGGUGAGUAACGCGUGGGAACGUGCCCUCUGGUUCGGAAUAACUCAGGGAAACUUGAGCUAAUACCGGAUACGCCCUUUUGGGGAAAGGCUUGCUGCCGGAGGAUCGGCCCGCGUCUGAUUAGCUAGUUGGUGAGGUAACGGCUCACCAAGGCGACGAUCAGUAGCUGGUCUGAGAGGAUGAUCAGCCACACUGGGACUGAGACACGGCCCAGACUCCUACGGGAGGCAGCAGUGGGGAAUAUUGGACAAUGGGCGCAAGCCUGAUCCAGCCAUGCCGCGUGAGUAAUGAAGGCCUUAGGGUUGUAAAGCUCUUUUAUCCGGGACGAUAAUGACGGUACCGGAGGAAUAAGCCCCGGCUAACUUCGUG